rnacentral:lncRNA from 1 species
GCUUGUAUUUUUUUCCACUCUAAUCACGCUACUUGUUUUUAAACAAAAGCUUACAGAAAAUCCAUUCAAUUCACAGGAGAGCUUUGAAACUGUAAUGCUUAUGUUCCUAUAAAACAUUUGUUAUAUUAUUGCAAUUCAUCUCCUGUUAUACAGGAAACACAGCAAAUGAAAACAUUUCUGAAAUGCCUAUUGCUCACGCUUGAUUUCUGGAGGGGGAAGAAGAAAAGUAAAUUGCUCAUGCAGAACAGAGACUCUCCUUUCAUUUUCUUGUUCUUUCCUAAGCAGCGCACAGAGACUGCUCGGCUGUGAGGCUUAACAGAUGUGGCGGAACUGAAGCAUGGAAAGUCUCUCCAUGGGAGAAAUGUAUCGGCUAUCUUGAGACAUGAGAUGCCAACAGCUAUGAACCUCACUCCUCAUCUGAUACCUGCCAUGGGAAAAGCAUGUGAAAGCAGAUUGAAGUUUUUAAGAGGUAGAGUGAGUUCUUUUAACUCCACUGCUAUGUAUAAACAUAUAUUCAGGGAGCAGUAGAAGAAAGAAUAGAAAAAACAACUGCUAGAGAAAACGAAUGGGAAGAAAAGUGGACGAUGCCUGCUUUGAAUAGGCUCACUGCAAAGCCCAUUUACAGCAAAGGAGACUUUACAUCAAGUAUAACACAGGUCAGGCUGGGUACGUAUGUUGUAACUGAGCAAAAUUCUCAUCUUCCCUCCUCCUUUCAUUCUUCAGUCUCUCCAUGUUUUAGACUGAACACUGUUUACUUCACUUUGUGUCCGUUCUGUCUCCUCCUCCUCAGUAGAGCUGAGGUUCAAGCUGAACUUUAACGAGUAAAAUUUGACUGCGUAAAUAUAUUAAAUACAAUAAGUGC